rnacentral:rRNA from 1 species
CCUACGGGAGGCAGCAGUGGGGAAUAUUGCCCAAUGGGCGAAAGCCUGAUGCAGCAACGCCGCGUGAGCGAUGAAGGCCUUCGGUUCGUAAAGCUCUGUCCUCAAGGAAGAUAAUGACGGUACUUGAGGAGGAAGCCCCGGCUAACUACGUGCCAGCAGCCGCGGUAAUACGUAGGGGGCUAGCGUUAUCCGGAUUUACUGGGCGUAAAGGGUGCGUAGGCGGUCUUUUAAGUCAGGAGUGAAAGGCUACGGCUCAACCGUAGUAAGCUCUUGAAACUGGAGGACUUGAGUGCAGGAGAGGAGAGUGGAAUUCCUAGUGUAGCGGUGAAAUGCGUAGAUAUUAGGAGGAACACCAGUAGCGAAGGCGGCUCUCUGGACUGUAACUGACGCUGAGGCACGAAAGCGUGGGGAGCAAACAGGAUUAGAUACCCUGGUAGUCCACGCCGUAAACGAUGAGUACUAGCUGUCGGAGGUUACCCCCUUCGGUGGCGCAGCUAACGCAUUAAGUACUCCGCCUGGGGAGUACGCUCGCAAGAGUGAAACUCAAAUGAAUUGACGG